CCCGAUGGGCCAAUCACACACCCCAUCCGCCAGAGAACUACGAGUGAAAAACUUAAAACUCUAAGGACUUGACGGUGCCCCACACCAGCCUAGAGGAGCCUGUCCUAUAAUCGAUACUCCACGCUAAACCNNNCCCCCCCUCGUACUAAAUCAGCCUAUAUACCGCCGUCGCCAGCUUGCCUAGUGAUAGACUUAAAGC
rnacentral:rRNA from 1 species